GAUGAACGCUGGCGGCGUGCCUAAUACAUGCAAGUCGAGCGAACGGACGAGAAGCUUGUUUCUUUGAUGUUAGCGGCGGACGGGUGAGUAACACGUGGAUAACCUACUUAUAAGUCUGGGAUAAUUUCGGGAAACCGGAGCUAAUACCGGAUAAUAUUUUGAACCGCAUGGUUCAAAAGUGAAUGACGGUCUUGCUGUCACUAAUAGAUGGAUACGGGCUGCAUUAGCUAGUUGGUAAGGUAACGGCCUACCAAGGCGACGAUGCAUAGCCGACCGGAGAGGCGGAUCGGCCACCUUGGAAGUGAGACACGGUCCAGACUACUACGGGAGGCAGCAGUAGGGAACCUUCGGCAAUGGGCGAAAGCCUGACGCAGCAAGGCCGCGUGAGUGAUGAAGGCCUUCGGUUCGUAAAGCCCUGUUAUUGGGUAAGAACAGAUGUGGAAUGAGCUGUAGAGAGCUUGACGGUAACUAAUCAAGAAGCAACGGCUAACUACGUG
rnacentral:rRNA from 1 species